AACGCACCUUGCGCUCUCUGGUAUUCUGGAGAGCAUGCCUGUUUGAGUGUCAUGAACUCUUCAACCCACCAGUUUCUUGUUAGACUGUGUUGGUGUUUGGUUUCUGAAUGUUGCUGGUUCCUCGUGAACGCUAGCUCGUUUAAAAUAUAUUGGCAUCUCAAUUUCGAAACUUGGAUUGACUCAGCGUAAUAGACUAUUCGCUGAGGACACCUUUCAUUAGGUGGCCAUGUUAGAUAACGACCGAUGCUCAUAGCACUCUAUCUAGUCAUUCUUUUAAGAUUAGACCUCAGAUCAGGCAGGAUUACCCGCUGAACUUAA
rnacentral:misc_RNA from 1 species